GGAAAAUGGAGAUGGGAGAUUAGAAAUGAGAGAUAAGAAUAGGAACAAGGAAUUAGAAACAAAAGAUGAGAAUGGAGACGAAGGGGGUUUGGAACAAGGAACAUGGAACAAGAAAUAAAGGAGGAGAACAUGGACAUGGAAUUAAAAAUGGAAGACAAGAAUGGAGACAUAAGAUAAGAGAAAGAAAAAAGACUGAAAUAAGAGAACAAGGACAUGGGACUAAGAGUGAGAGAAAAAAAUGAGGACAAGGAACUAAGAACAAGGGAGAGUUGAAACAGGAGACAUGGAACAAAGAACAAGGGAUAGAAAUAGAGAUAUGGGAGGAUUGAGACAUGAAACAUGGAACAAAAAAUAAGAGAUAGAAAUAGAGAUAUAGGAGGGUUGAGAUGGGAGAUAUGGAACAACGAAGGAGAAUAGAGAUAAGAAAACAGAAACAAAGUAUUCAGAUAGGAGAUGGAUGGAAUCAAUU
rnacentral:lncRNA from 1 species